rnacentral:rRNA from 1 species
CAUAGGUUAAUGAGGCGAACCGGGGGAACUGAAACAUCUAAGUACCCCGAGGAAAAGAAAUCAACCGAGAUUCCCCCAGUAGCGGCGAGCGAACGGGGAGCAGCCCAGAGCCUGAAUCAGUGUGUGUGUUAGUGGAAGCGUCUGGAAAGGCGCGCGAUACAGGGUGACAGCCCCGUACACAAAAAUGCACAUGCUGUGAGCUCGAUGAGUAGGGCGGGACACGUGGUAUCCUGUCUGAAUAUGGGGGGACCAUCCUCCAAGGCUAAAUACUCCUGACUGACCGAUAGUGAACCAGUACCGUGAGGGAAAGGCGAAAAGAACCCCGGCGAGGGGAGUGAAAAAGAACCUGAAACCGUGUACGUACAAGCAGUGGGAGCACGCUUAGGCGUGUGACUGCGUACCUUUUGUAUAAUGGGUCAGCGACUUAUAUUCUGUAGCAAGGUUAACCGAAUAGGGGAGCCGAAGGGAAACCGAGUCUUAACUGGGCGUUAAGUUGCAGGGUAUAGACCCGAAACCCGGUGAUCUAGCCAUGGGCAGGUUGAAGGUUGGGUAACACUAACUGGAGGACCGAACCGACUAAUGUUGAAAAAUUAGCGGAUGACUUGUGGCUGGGGGUGAAAGGCCAAUCAAACCGGGAGAUAGCUGGUUCUCCCCGAAAGCUAUUUAGGUAGCGCCUCGUGAAUUCAUCUCCGGGGGUAGAGCACUGUUUCGGCAAGGGGGUCAUCCCGACUUACCAACCCGAUGCAAACUGCGAAUACCGGAGAAUGUUAUCACGGGAGACACACGGCGGGUGCUAACGUCCGUCGUGAAGAGGGAAACAACCCAGACCGCCAGCUAAGGUCCCAAAGUCAUGGUUAAGUGGGAAACGAUGUGGGAAGGCCCAGACAGCCAGGAUGUUGGCUUAGAAGCAGCCAUCAUUUAAAGAAAGCGUAAUAGCUCACUGGUCGAGUCGGCCUGCGCGGAAGAUGUAACGGGGCUAAACCAUGCACCGAAGCUGCGGCAGCGACGCUUAUGCGUUGUUGGGUAGGGGAGCGUUCUGUAAGCCUGUGAAGGUGUACUGUGAGGUAUGCUGGAGGUAUCAGAAGUGCGAAUGCUGACAUAAGUAACGAUAAAGCGGGUGAAAAGCCCGCUCGCCGGAAGACCAAGGGUUCCUGUCCAACGUUAAUCGGGGCAGGGUGAGUCGACCCCUAAGGCGAGGCCGAAAGGCGUAGUCGAUGGGAAACAGGUUAAUAUUCCUGUACUUGGUGUUACUGCGAAGGGGGGACGGAGAAGGCUAUGUUGGCCGGGCGACGGUUGUCCCGGUUUAAGCGUGUAGGCUGGUUUUCCAGGCAAAUCCGGAAAAUCAAGGCUGAGGCGUGAUGACGAGGCACUACGGUGCUGAAGCAACAAAUGCCCUGCUUCCAGGAAAAGCCUCUAAGCAUCAGGUAACAUCAAAUCGUACCCCAAACCGACACAGGUGGUCAGGUAGAGAAUACCAAGGCGCUUGAGAGAACUCGGGUGAAGGAACUAGGCAAAAUGGUGCCGUAACUUCGGGAGAAGGCACGCUGAUAUGUAGGUGAAGUCCCUCGCGGAUGGAGCUGAAAUCAGUCGAAGAUACCAGCUGGCUGCAACUGUUUAUUAAAAACACAGCACUGUGCAAACACGAAAGUGGACGUAUACGGUGUGACGCCUGCCCGGUGCCGGAAGGUUAAUUGAUGGGGUCAGCGCAAGCGAAGCUCUUGAUCGAAGCCCCGGUAAACGGCGGCCGUAACUAUAACGGUCCUAAGGUAGCGAAAUUCCUUGUCGGGUAAGUUCCGACCUGCACGAAUGGCGUAAUGAUGGCCAGGCUGUCUCCACCCGAGACUCAGUGAAAUUGAACUCGCUGUGAAGAUGCAGUGUACCCGCGGCAAGACGGAAAGACCCCGUGAACCUUUACUAUAGCUUGACACUGAACAUUGAGCCUUGAUGUGUAGGAUAGGUGGGAGGCUUUGAAGUGUGGACGCCAGUCUGCAUGGAGCCGACCUUGAAAUACCACCCUU